rnacentral:tRNA from 1 species
AGGCCUGUAGCUCAAGUGGAAGAGCAUCGGUCUCCAAAACCGAGGGCUGGGGGUUCGAGUCCCUCCGGGCCUG